rnacentral:rRNA from 1 species
UGGGGAAUAUUGGACAAUGGGCGGAAGCCUGAUCCAGCAACGCCGCGUGAGGGAUGACGGCCUUCGGGUUGUAAACCUCUUUCAGUAGGGACGAAUGUAGACGGUACCUACAGAAGAAGCACCGGCCAACUACGUGCCAGCAGCCGCGGUAAUACGUAGGGUGCGAGCGUUGUCCGGAAUUAUUGGGCGUAAAGGGCUCGUAGGCGGUUUGUCGCGUCAUGAGUGAAAUCCGGGUGCUUAACGCCUGGCUGGCUUGUGAUACGGGCAGACUGGAGGUAUGUAGGGGAGAACGGAAUUCCUGGUGUAGCGGUGAAAUGCGCAGAUAUCAGGAGGAACACCGGUGGCGAAGGCGGUUCUCUGGGCAUUACCUGACGCUGAGGAGCGAAAGUGUGGGGAGCGAACAGG